GUCGACUGAGCUUGGAGUCUUCUGUGGCAGCACGUGGUGGACCUCGAGAUUGCAUUGCAUCUGAGAUGUCUCAUCAGUGGUUCUGUCUUUCUAGGGCAGCUUUAGAACAGUGGCAGCGUGUUUUUUGGUGUAUGAGGUAGGUAUGUUCUCCUUCGAUCGGACUCGGCUUAUGUACCGAUACGGAUGAUGCCUUCCCGGUUGUGAGGUUUGUGUGGGCUUCGACUAUCUUUUGUGAGGCGUUCAUUGGGAAUCCCGCAAUCUACCACGCUCGUACUCCGGCUUUAACUGCAGUCUUUAUCCCCUCAACGGCUGCAAGAUGUCUCUUGCUUCCUCUCCCUUCAGUUUGGGCGCUUCCGUAAUUGGUCGAAGAGAUGGUGGUCUGAUUGGCGUUUUUUCACUCUGUCUUUUGUUUCUUUGUUUCUUAUUGCAAAUCUGUUUUUUGUAUGUCUCUGUACUUCUGUCUCAAACUCAGAAAAUGGUAAUAAACUUAACAUUUU
rnacentral:lncRNA from 1 species